rnacentral:rRNA from 1 species
UAAGCGCAAGCGGUAGGAGAGCGUUCUAUUUGCGUCGAAGGUAUACCGGCAAGGAGUGCUGGAGCGGAUAGAAGUGAGCAUGCAGGCAUGAGUAGCGAUAAUUAAUGUGAGAAUCAUUAACGCCGUAAACCCAAGGUUUCCUACGCGAUGCUCGUCAUCGUAGGGUUAGUCGGGUCCUAAGCUGAGUCCGAAAGGGGUAAGCGAUGGAAAAUAGGUUAAUAUUCCUAUACCAACAUUAGUGUGCGAUGGAAGGACGCUUAGGGCUAGGGGGGCUAGCGGAUGGAAGUGCUAGUCUAAGGUUGUAGGUGCUUACACAGGCAAAUCCGUGUGAGAAUACACCGAGAACUCAAAGGCUUUUCAAAGUCUUCGGAUAGCGAGAAGAACCCCUGAUGCCGUCGAGCCAAGAAAAGUUUCUAAGUUUAGCUAAUGUUGCCCGUACCGUAAACCGACACAGGUGGGUGGGAUGAGUAUUCUAAGGCGCGUGGAAGAACUCUCUUUAAGGAACUCUGCAAAAUAGCACCGUAUCUUCGGUAUAAGGUGUGCCUCCCUUUGUAUUAGAAUUUACUUCGAAAGCAAAGAAGGUUACAACAAAGAGUCCCUCCCGACUGUUUACCAAAAACACAGCACUCUGCUAACUCGCAAGAGGAUGUAUAGGGUGUGACGCCUGCCCGGUGCUCGAAGGUUAAUUGAUGGGGUUAGCAUUAGCGAAGCUCUUGAUCGAAGCCCGAGUAAACGGCGGCCGUAACUAUAACGGUCCUAAGGUAGCGAAAUUCCUUGUCGGUUAAAUACCGACCUGCAUGAAUGGCGUAACGAGAUGGGAGCUGUCUCAAAGAGGGAUCCAGUGAAAUUGUAGUGGAGGUGAAAAUUCCUCCUACCCGCGGCAAGACGGAAAGACCCCGUGGACCUUUACUACAGCUUGACACUGCUACUUGGAUAAGAAUGUGCAGGAUAGGUGGGAGGCUUUGAGUAUAUGACGCCAGUUGUAUAUGAGCCAUUGUUGAGAUACCACUCUUUCUUAUUUGGGUAGCUAACCAGCUUGAGUUAUCCUCAAGUGGGACAAUGUCUGGUGGGUAGUUUGACUGGGGCGGUCGCCUCCCAAAUAAUAACGGAGGCUUACAAAGGUUGGCUCAAAACGGUUGGAAAUCGUUUGUAGAGUAUAAAGGUAUAAGCCAGCUUAACUGCAAGACAUACAAGUCAAGCAGGGACGAAAGUCGGUCUUAGUGAUCCGGUGGUUCUGUGUGGAAGGGCCAUCGCUCAAAGGAUAAAAGGUACCCCGGGGAUAACAGGCUGAUCUCCCCCAAGAGCUCACAUCGACGGGGAGGUUUGGCACCUCGAUGUCGGCUCAUCGCAUCCUGGGGCUGGAGCAGGUCCCAAGGGUAUGGCUGUUCGCCAUUUAAAGCGGUACGCGAGCUGGGUUCAGAACGUCGUGAGACAGUUCGGUCCCUAUCUGCCGUGGGCGUAAGAAGAUUGAAGAGAUUUGACCCUAGUACGAGAGGACCGGGUUGAACAAACCACUGGUGUAGCUGUUGUUCUGCCAAGAGCAUCGCAGCGUAGCUAAGUUUGGAAAGGAUAAACGCUGAAAGCAUCUAAGCGUGAAGCCAACUCUAAGAUGAAUCUUCUCUAAGCUCUCUAGAAGACGACUAGUUUGAUAGGCUGGGUGUGUAAUAGAUGAAAGUCUUUUAGCUGACCAGUACUAAUAGAGCGUUUGGCUUACUUU